AUUGAACGCUGGCGGCAGGCCUAACACAUGCAAGUCGAGCGAGCGGCGGACGGGAGAGGAAUGCCUGGGAAGUGCCCAGGCGAGGGGGAUAAAAGUUGGAAAGGACUGCUAAUACCGCAAACGAAGGGAUGGCACAGGUGGGAUUAGCUAGUUGGUGGGGUAAUGGCUCACCAAGGCGACGAUCUCUAGCUGGUCUGAGAGGAUGACCAGCCACACUGGAACUGAGACACGGUCCAGACUCCUACGGGAGGCAGCAGUGGGGAAUAUUGCACAAUGGGGGAAACCCUGAUGCAGCCAUGCCGCGUGUGUGAAGAAGGCCUUCGGGUUGUAAAGCACUUUCAGCGAGGAGGCGUUACUCGCAGAAGAAGCACCGGCUAACUCCGUGCCAGCAGCCGCGGUAAUUC
rnacentral:rRNA from 1 species